UCUCCAGUUACAGAGCAGCCACU
rnacentral:piRNA from 1 species